CCUACGGGUGGCAGCAGUCGAGAAUCAUUCACAAUGGGGGAAACCCUGAUGGUGCGACGCCGCGUGGGGGAAUGAAGGUCUUCGGAUUGUAAACCCCUGUCAUGUGGGAGCAAAUGAAAAAGAUAGUACCACAAGAGGAAGAGACGGCUAACUCUGUGCCAGCAGCCGCGGUAAUACAGAGGUCUCAAGCGUUGUUCGGAAGCACUGGGCGUAAGGGGUGCGUAGGCUGUUUCGUAAGGCGUGUGUGAAAGGCGCGGGCUCAACCCGCGGACGGCACAUGAUACUGCGAGACUAGAGUAAUGGAGGGGGAAGCGGAAUUCUCGGUGUAGCAGUGAAAUGCGUAGAUAUCGAGAGGAACACUCGUGGCGAAGGCGGGUUCCUGGACAUUAACUGACGCUGAGGCACGAAGGCCAGGGGAGCGAAAGGGAUUAGAUACCCCUGUAGUC
rnacentral:rRNA from 1 species